rnacentral:snoRNA from 13 species
AAUUUCGAAUGAUGAAACACUUUACGUAGGAAUCUCAUUGAGCUUCAGUCAUUCGUUGCCUUGAAAACAAUAAUCCUCUGACUACUAGAAAGACA